rnacentral:rRNA from 1 species
GACGAACGCUGGCGGCGUGCUUAAUACAUGCAAGUCGAACGGAAAGGCCCGGCGUUUGCGGGGUGCUCGAGAGGCGAAGGGGGGAGUGACACGUGAGUAACCUGCCCUUGACAGAGGGAUAACACUAGGAAAAAGGGGCGAAAACCGGGGAGGAGCUCUUGAACCACGGGGGGGGAUGGAAAGAGUCGGCGGUGGGGGCUGGACUCGCGGGUUAUCCGCUUGUUGGGGGGGUAGGGGAUUACCAAGGCUUUGACGGGUAGCCGGCCUGGGCGGGUGACCGGCCACAUUGGGACUGAGGUACGGCCCAGACUCCUACGGGAGGCAGCAGUGGGGAAUCUUGCACAAUGGGCGGAAGCCUGAUGCAGCAGCGCCGCGUGCGGGAUGACGGCCUUCGGGUUGUAAACCGCUUUCGCCUGUGACGAAGCGUGAGUGACGGUAAUGGGUAAAGAAGCACCGGCUAACUACGUG